AUUGAACGCUGGCGGCAGGCCUAACACAUGCAAGUCGAGCGAGCGGCGGACGGGUGAGUAAUGUAUGGGGACUGCCCGAUAGAGGGGGAUAACUACUGGAAACGGUGGCUAAUACCGCAUACUAUCGGAUAACCCAUAUGGGAUUAGCUAGUGGGUGGGGGAAAGGCUCACCGAGUCGACGAUCUCUCGCUGGGCUGAGAGGAUGAGCAGCCACACGGGGACUGAGAAACGGCCCAGACUCCUACGGAGGCAGCAGUGGGGAAGAUUGCACAAUGGGCGCAAGCCUGAUGCAGCCAGGCGGCGUGUAUGAAGAAGGCCUUAGGGUUGUAAAGUACUUUCAGCGGGGAGGCGUUACCCGCAGAAGAAGCACCGGCUAACUCCGUGCCAGCAGCCGCGGUAAUAC
rnacentral:rRNA from 1 species